GUGGGGAAUAUUGGACAAUGGGCGAAAGCCUGAUCCAGCCAUGCCGCGUGUGUGAAGAAGGUCUUCGGAUUGUAAAGCACUUUAAGUUGGGAGGAAGGGUAGUAACCUAAUACGUUGCUACUUUGACGUUACCGACAGAAUAAGCACCGGCUAACUUCGUGCCAGCAGCCGCGGUAAUACGAAGGGUGCAAGCGUUAAUCGGAAUUACUGGGCGUAAAGCGCGCGUAGGUGGUUCAGUAAGUUGGAAGUUAAAUCCCCGGGCUCAACCUGGGAACUGCUUUCAAAACUGCUGAGCUAGAGUACGGUAGAGGGUGGUGGAAUUUCCUGUGUAGCGGUGAAAUGCGUAGAUAUAGGAAGGAACACCAGUGGCGAAGGCGACCACCUGGACUGAUACUGACACUGGGGUGCGAAAGCGUGGGGAGCAAACAGGAUUAGAUACCCGAGUAGUCC
rnacentral:rRNA from 1 species